UACGUAGGGAGCAAGCGUUGUUCGGAAUUACUGGGCGUAAAGGGCGCGUAGGCGGCCGAUCAAGUCAGGCGUGAAAUUCCCGGGCUCAACCUGGGGGCUGCGCUUGAUACUGAUUGGCUUGAAUGCGGGAGAGGAUAGUGGAAUUCCCAGUGUAGAGGUGAAAUUCGUAGAUAUUGGGAAGAACACCGGUGGCGAAGGCGGCUAUCUGGCCCGUAAUUGACGCUGAGGCGCGAAAGCAUGGGGAGCGAACGGG
rnacentral:rRNA from 1 species